rnacentral:rRNA from 1 species
UUAACACAUGCAAGUCGAGGGGCAGCAUGGUCUUAGCUUGCUAAGGCCGAUGGCGACCGGCGCACGGGUGAGUAACACGUAUCCAACCUGCCGUCUACUCUUGGACAGCCUUCUGAAAGGAAGAUUAAUACAAGAUGGCAUCACGAGUCCGCAUGUUCACAUGAUUAAAGGUAUUCCGGUAGACGAUGGGGAUGCGUUCCAUUAGAUAGUAGGCGGGGUAACGGCCCACCUAGUCUUCGAUGGAUAGGGGUUCUGAGAGGAAGGUCCCCCACAUUGGAACUGAGACACGGUCCAAACUCCUACGGGAGGCAGCAGUGAGGAAUAUUGGUCAAUGGGCGAGAGCCUGAACCAGCCAAGUAGCGUGAAGGAUGACUGCCCUAUGGGUUGUAAACUUCUUUUAUAAAGGAAUAAAGUCGGGUAUGGAUACCCGUUUGCAUGUACUUUAUGAAUAAGGAUCGGCUAACUCCGUGCCAGCAGCCGCGGUAAUACGGAGGAUCCGAGCGUUAUCCGGAUUUAUUGGGUUUAAAGGGAGCGUAGAUGGAUGUUUAAGUCAGUUGUGAAAGUUUGCGGCUCAACCGUAAAAUUGCAGUUGAUACUGGAUAUCUUGAGUGCAGUUGAGGCAGGCGGAAUUCCGUGGUGUAGCGGUGAAAUGCUUAGAUAUCACGAAGAACUCCGAUUGCGAAGGCAGCCUGCUAAGCUGCAACUGACAUUGAGGCUCGAAAGUGUGGGUAUCAAACAGGAUUAGAUACCCUGGUAGUCCACACGGUAAACGAUGAAUACUCGCUGUUUGCGAUAUACUGCAAGCGGCCAAGCGAAAGCGUUAAGUAUUCCACCUGGGGAGUACGCCGGCAACGGUGAAACUCAAAGGAAUUGACGGGGGCCCGCACAAGCGGAGGAACAUGUGGUUUAAUUCGAUGAUACGCGAGGAACCUUACCCGGGCUUAAAUUGCAGAUGAAUUACGGUGAAAGCCGUAAGCCGCAAGGCAUCUGUGAAGGUGCUGCAUGGUUGUCGUCAGCUCGUGCCGUGAGGUGUCGGCUUAAGUGCCAUAACGAGCGCAACCCUUGUUGUCAGUUACUAACAGGUUCCGCUGAGGACUCUGACAAGACUGCCAUCGUAAGAUGUGAGGAAGGUGGGGAUGACGUCAAAUCAGCACGGCCCUUACGUCCGGGGCUACACACGUGUUACAAUGGGGGGUACAGAGGGCCGCUACCACGCGAGUGGAUGCCAAUCCCCAAAACCUCUCUCAGUUCGGACUGGAGUCUGCAACCCGACUCCACGAAGCUGGAUUCGCUAGUAAUCGCGCAUCAGCCACGGCGCGGUGAAUACGUUCCCGGGCCUUGUACACACCGCCCGUCAAGCCAUGGGAGCCGGGGGUACCUGAAGUGCGUAACCGCGAGGAGCGCCCUAGGGUAAAACUGGUGACUGGGGCUAA